GAAAAUCUUCUCCCCCCUUUUAAAAUUGUCAAAAUCCAAUGAGUUGUCAUUUCGGAAUUCUCUUCUCUAUUUGUACUAACUACACCCCUUUUUUUAUGAAUAUUCAAAAAAAAAACUGUCCCUACUUUCGGAGAAGUACACAUUUACCCUCCCCCCUUGAAAAUUCCAUAUAUAUAAGGCCGUCUAAUCAAACGUCGGAGAAAACAUAAAAUUCCCUUCAAAUAUUGAGUCAUCAACUGCCGUAGAUUGACACCGUAAUCCGGCUUCGCUUUCGGUUUAUUUCGAAAAUGCUAGAGCUGUUCUUGGCGGUAGCGUUCUCGGCGGCGCCGCUUAUACUUUACGUGCCGCCAAUAAGGAGCUUAAAUUUGUUUGUGGAAUCAGUAGAGCAUUUUUUCGGACAUACAGCGUUGUAUACUCUUCGUGUUUUCCCUCGCUUUCGGCUCUUUUUCUCCAGAUACCUUCUUUUAUCUCCAUCUCCAAGAUGUUAAUCGUUUUGAGGUUCUCCCAAAGAGGAAGGAAAGGCUAAGGUUUGACGAUUCGAGACUGUUGCUCGGCAUUCCAGUGCAAAUUGUGUUCCAGAUAUUUCAUCCAGACUACAUCUCUAGCUUGAAGCUAGUUAGCUUGAUCGGAUCCGAGGGUGAGCUUCUAUCCAUGCCAUGCCACCUGAAGAUCUCUCUUUCCAGAUGUCUACUUUCAUUCCAGACAUUAUUUGUUAUUAUAUUUGAGAUAUACUUCAUUCUUUAGACAUUGUUGGUUAGAGUCCUUGUAUGAUGACUUUCAGAUUUUGGGGGUGUAAUUGUUAGACUUCCACACUUAUAUUAUCUAUUAAUUAUGACAUAAUUUAUUUAUUUA